AGCAAUCAUGACACAUUCGACCGAUCAGAAUAUUAUUUCUGCGAAUUUGCUAAUUCAUGAGACCGCUCAACGACCGGGAGAACAACAUCAUGAUACGAACGAUCAUCUUGAUGCUCGAGCCAAUUUGUUAGUUCCUCGGAGUAAUGAUCAAGCAGUAGAUCGUCAUGAAGAGGGUACCCGUAUGUCAGAGACGAUCGAUCAGCCCAAC